rnacentral:misc_RNA from 1 species
CCGUCUUCACCGUACGUGCAGGAGGAGUCGCGGUAGCCCUCAAGCACGCCCCACCGUGUACCUCUUUUAGUUUGUUGCUCUGUUCGUUCGUGUGCCGGCUUCACCGGUCUUCCGCUGUGUAUAUGCGUGUGUGUAACAGCGUGUGUGUGUGUCCUCUGGUCCGCCAUAGGCGAUGAACACAGAAAAACAAAGGCCCAUACGAAGAUCGACCCGAUACACACCAACGGCCGCAGCAUCUUCCGUGGCCGCAAGCGAAACAGGAAAACGGCGCACGGCCGCGCAGAUCACAUGCGCUCUGCCCUUAUCACGAGUAUCCUCGAGAAGGUAGAGAAUGAGGUGCGCCAGCGUCUGCACGACGCGGCUGCCUUGACGUCGCCGGGUCCCUCCUCUGCCGUUGCCCCGCCCACCUUGCUCUCUCUCCUCACCCCGGAGGACUGGAGUGCUGUGCGGCGCUCGCUGAGGGAAGACGCCACUCUCCCACCCAUCGCCGCCAGCGCAACGGAUGAGGUAGAGAGUACAUCAGCAAGCUUCCAACCGGCGGCAGCGAGUGAGCUGCUGCAGUACGUACAGAUGCGGUGCGCAGAGCUGCCCAUGCGUCUGCAGAUCGAGGCACUGCUGACACGCCGCUACGAGCACCUCCUGCGUCAGCACACGCGCGAGCUUGUCACCCUCAGCGAGCACAUGGCACUGAUCAGUCGUACUCCACCCACGUUAGCGCCGGCACCGCGAGGCUUUUCAGAGCCGGCGCCGAACCUCGCGCAGCUGCCGGUGGACGUGCGGGCGCUGCUGGCAGAGGAGGAGAUGGGGCCGCGCCUCGAGCGUUGCCAAGCUCGCAUCUGCGAGCUGGAGGCGAUGGCGCGGCAGGAUGCAGAGGCCAAGGUGCGAUGCUGUCAACGCAUGGUGCUCCUCAGCGAGUUUGUGCAAGCGCUGGUGCGGCACGCCAUGGCACACGUGCUGAAGGGCGAGGAAGAGCCGAAGAGCAACGCCGCCGUGGCGACGAAGCGGCCUCGUACGGAGCAGCACGCGUGACUGGCAGUCGUUGUCUUCGCGCGCGCGCGCGUGUGUGUGUGUGUGCAACGCUCCGUGUCGCAGUUUCGCUUGGCUUCAUCGUCCCCCCCCCCUCGUCGCCGCGUGGCAGUGCGCAUGUGUCGGAGAGAAAGGGAAAGCGUUUCGUGCGAGACACAGAGAGGCGCUCGCAGCUUAAUCCUGGUGAAGAAAGUCUGCUGCUCGUGUCGGCAGUCCUCCUUUCUUGUUGCGAUCUUAAGCCGCUCUUUGGCCGAGUCGCAAUGCGCGCCAGCGCCGCCGCCACCGCCAAAUUCCCUUUACGGUACGUGCACGUGUGCCCCCGCAUACGCACGCUGGGCCGCUUUCCGAUAACCGGAAGAUAUCCGCCGAAGAAC